GUGAGAGACACUUGGCUGCAGCAUCUGCACCCCAUUUAUCUCCAGGAUUGGUUCAGCUGAUCUGGCUGGCUAGGCAGGUGUCCCUUUCCUCCCUUAAUGCCUGAUGUGUGUCCCUCCCAAAGCUGCAAGCUUGAUCGUAUAGGAUGACCUUCCUUGAACGGAGACAGACUAUCUUUGGUUGAGGGUAUAUGAGUAGCUAGAACAUCUAAAUAGGCUCUCAAGGUCAGAGUGAGAUAGUUGUUAGGUCCCAGCUGACCCCGCAGGCU
rnacentral:snRNA from 1 species